CCAGCCAUGCCGCGUGUGUGAAGAAGGCCUUUUGGUUGUAAAGCACUUUAAGCGAGGAGGAGGCUACUUGGAUUAAUACUCUAGGAUAGUGGACGUUACUCGCAGAAUAAGCACCGGCUAACUCUGUGCCAGCAGCCGCGGUAAUACAGAGGGUGCGAGCGUUAAUCGGAUUUACUGGGCGUAAAGCGUGCGUAGGCGGCUUUUUAAGUCGGAUGUGAAAUCCCUGAGCUUAACUUAGGAAUUGCAUUCGAUACUGGGAAGCUAGAGUAUGGGAGAGGAUGGUAGAAUUCCAGGUGUAGCGGUGAAAUGCGUAGAGAUCUGGAGGAAUACCGAUGGCGAAGGCAGCCAUCUGGCCUAAUACUGACGCUGAGGUACGAAAGCAUGGGGAGCAAACAGGAUUAGAUACCCUGGUAGUCCAUGCCGUAAACGAUGUCUACUAGCCGUUGGGGCCUUUGAGGCUUUAGUGGCGCAGCUAACGCGAUAAGUAGACCGCCUGGGGAGUACGGUCGCAAGACUAAAACUCAAAUGAAUUGACGGGGGCCCGCACAAGCGGUGGAGCAUGUGGUUUAAUUCGAUGCAACGCGAAGAACCUUACCUGGUCUUGACAUAGUAAGAACUUCCAGAGAUG
rnacentral:rRNA from 1 species